rnacentral:rRNA from 1 species
UACGUAGGGGGCAAGCGUUGUCCGGAGUUACUGGGCGUAAAGCGCACGCAGGCGGUCUCUUAAGUUUGGAGUGACAGUUGGUGGCUUAACUGCCAAAGUGCUUCGAAAACUGAGAGACUUGAGGGCUUCAGAGGGACACGGAAUUCCGGGUGGAGUGGUGAAAUGCGUAGAGAUCCGGAGGACCCCCAAAGGCGAAGGCAGGGCCCGGGGAGUACCUGACGCUCAGGUGCGAAAGCCAGGGGAGCGAGCGGG